GCACUGCAUCGCUCUAUCGCGACCCUCGUUUGAUCGAUGGUUGAGGAAAGUCCGGACAACGUAGAGCACCGUACCGUGUAAUAAACGGACCCUACUGUACAGUGGGGAUAGAAAGUGUCGCAGAAAAUAACCGUCUCUUGCUUGUCAGGAGAUAAGGGUGAAAAUGUGAGGUAAGAGCUCACGAUGUUAAUGGGUAACUGUUAACGUGGAUAAACCUUAUGGGUUGUAAUGCCAUGUAUAUUAUGAUUCGGCCUAGGUCGACGAGAGCUGCUCGCUCAAGAAUACCAAGUCAUAAGGGGUAGGCAGCAUAGAUAAAUGAUAGAGCAUCAGAAAUGAUGACAGAAUCCGGCUUAUAGAUGUAUUUUUAAA
rnacentral:RNase_P_RNA from 1 species